rnacentral:rRNA from 1 species
AGUGGCGGACGGGUGAGUAACGCGUGGGCAACCUGCCCCAUACAGGGGGAUAACAGCCGGAAACGGCUGCUAAAACCGCAUAAGCGCACAAGGGCCGCAUGGCCUGGUGUGAAAAACUCCGGUGGUAUGGGAUGGGCCCGCGUCUGAUUAGCUAGUUGGCGGGGGAGAGGCCCACCAAGGCGACGAUCAGUAGCCGACCUGAGAGGGUGGCCGGCCACAUUGGGACUGAGACACGGCCCAAACUCCUACGGGAGGCAGCAGUGGGGAAUAUUGCCCAAUGGGGGAAACCCUGAUGCAGCGACGCCGCGUGAGCGAAGAAGUAUUUCGGUAUGUAAAGCUCUAUCAGCAGGGAAGAAGAUGACGGUACCUGACCAAGAAGCCCCGGCUAACUACGUGCCAGCAGCCGCGGUAAUACGUAGGGGGCAAGCGUUAUCCGGAUUUACUGGGUGUAAAGGGAGCGCAGACGGCAGUGCAAGUCUGGAGUGAAAGCCCGGGGCCCAACCCCGGAACUGCUCUGGAAACUGUGCGGCUAGAGUACUGGAGGGGCAGGCGGAAUUCCUAGUGUAGCGGUGAAAUGCGUAGAUAUUAGGAGGAACACCAGUGGCGAAGGCGGCCUGCUGGACAGUAACUGACGUUGAGGCUCGAAAGCGUGGGGAGCAAACAGGAUUAGAUACCCUGGUA